UACGUAGGGUGCGAGCGUUAAUCGGAAUUACUGGGCGUAAAGCGUGCGCAGGCGGUUUGCUAAGACAGGUGUGAAAUCCCCGGGCUUAACCUGGGAACUGCGCUUGUUACUGGCAGGCUUGAGUGUGGCAGAGGGGGGUGGAAUUCCACGUGUAGCAGUGAAAUGCGUAGAGAUGUGGAGGAACACCGAUGGCGAAGGCAGCCCCCUGGGCUAACACUGACGCUCAUGCACGAAAGCGUGGGGAGCAAACAGG
rnacentral:rRNA from 1 species